AUGGCAAACGUCUCGGCAGAGCAGCGGAUGCACUUGGUGCUAUGCAGGGAGGAGAGAGGCGUGCAUGAACUUUUUACUGCAUCUGACCUUUUGAAUAUUGCAUAUAUGAACUUAUCCAGUGAGCCAAGAUUGCAUAUAGGGGGCCUUGUUGCUCCGACGUGUGUAUGGUGGCCAGAGUGGAGCAUCGACGGCGGUGGCAUGGAGGUUCGUGAAAGGAGGCACAGAAGAAGGGGCCACGCGCCUCGCCGGAUAUCGAGCCGCCCGCCACCAAGGGGAUCCCGUCUAGGAGGUGUGGGCUGUAGUUAG
rnacentral:rRNA from 1 species